CCUAGUGGACUCUUGACACCAUAAGCAAAGAUUGCUCUAGCUUGUUCCCUGCCAGGCCACUCAGCUUACUUGAAUGUGUGACCCACAGUAGUGCAGGACUUAUGGCUCUAAGUGCCAGGGGACAGUGUCAGGUGGCGCAGCCACACUAGAGCAGUGUAGCUGUCAAACCAAAAUGCAGUCUCUGAGAGUGAGUCCAGGGAAGUUGAAAAUCUCUUGUGGAGCAGAAGGGCAAAAGCUCACCUGAUCUUGAUUUUCAGAUUUUUUGUGAAAGAGGGGCCUUGUGGUACUUCUGACAUUUUGUCUAGUAAGCAAGAGGUGUCAUAAAAGUUACCACAGGGAUGACAGAGGGGUGAAGUGUUUAUGAUGGCACAAAAUUGAAAAUUUAAAGGUUGAAAUUACUUUUUCCAUCUUUGUAUCUCCUCUUCUUUUCAGUGUGAUGCACAAUUCACGCUAGAUUGUUCCUCUGCUAACAAGGAAUGUGACCUGGCUUUUGGCUGUUGUAAGAAAGGUCAGUU
rnacentral:ncRNA from 1 species